GCCCCUUUAGCUCAGUUGGUAGAGCGCGGCACUAGUAAGUCAUCUGACCUCAUAAUGCCGAGGUCAUCAGUUCAAAUCUGAUAGGGGGCA